GUAACGCGUGAGAAUCUGGCUUAAGGACGGGGACAACCACUGGAAACGGUGGCUAAGACCCGAUAUGCCGAGAGGUGAAAGUAUUUUUAGCCUUAAGGGGAGCUCGCGUCUGAUUAGCUAGUUGGUGGGGUAAGAGCCUACCAAGGCGACGAUCAGUAGCUGGUCUGAGAGGAUGAUCAGCCACACUGGGACUGAGACACGGCCCAGACUCCUACGGGAGGCAGCAGUGGGGAAUUUUCCGCAAUGGGCGAAAGCCUGACGGAGCAAUACCGCGUGGGGGAGGAAGGCUCUUGGGUUGUAAACUCCUUUUCUCAGGGAAGAAAAAAAUGACGGUACCUGAGGAAUCAGCAUCGGCUAACUCCGUGCCAGCAGCCGCGGUAAUACGGAGGAUGCAAGCGUUAUCCGGAAUCAUUGGGCGUAAAGCGUCCGCAGGUGGCACUUCAAGUCUGCUGUCAAAGGUCGGGGCUUAACUCCGAACAGGCAGUGGAAACUGAAGCGCUCGAGUGCGGUAGGGGCAGAGGGAAUUCCUGGUGUAGCGGUGAAAUGCGUAGAGAUCAGGAAGAACACCGGUGGCGAAAGCGCUCUGCUAGGCCGCAACUGACACUCAGGGACAAAAGCUAGGGGAGCGAAUGGGAUUAUUACCCCCAGAUAGUCACGCGUUC
rnacentral:rRNA from 1 species